ensembl:snRNA U6 U6 spliceosomal RNA
GUGCUCACGUCGGAGGCACAUAUACUAAAAUUGGAAUGAUACAGAGAAGAUUAGCAUGGCCCCUGCAAAAAGAUGACAUGCAAAUUCAUGAAGUGUUCCAUAUUUUU